rnacentral:rRNA from 1 species
AGCAGUCGCCGCGGUAAUACGAAGGGGGCUAGCGUUGUUCGGAUUUACUGGGCGUAAAGCGCACGUAGGCGGACUUUUAAGUCAGGGGUGAAAUCCCGGGGCUCAACCCCGGAACUGCCUUUGAUACUGGGAGUCUUGAGUUCGAGAGAGGUGAGUGGAAUUGCGAGUGUAGAGGUGAAAUUCGUAGAUAUUCGCAGGAACACCAGUGGCGAAGGCGGCUCACUGGCUCGAUACUGACGCUGAGGUGCGAAAGCGUGGGGAGCAAACAGGAUUAGAUACCCCCGUAGUCCCUGUCUCUUAUAC